UCCCUAGUGGUCCAGUGGUUAGGACUCUGUGCUUCCAAUGCAGGGGGCCCGGGCUCAAUCCCUGGUCAGAGAA
rnacentral:tRNA from 1 species